AUGAACGCUGGCGGCGUGCCUAAUACAUGCAAGUCGAGCGAACAGAUGAGGAGCUUGCUCCUCUGACGUUAGCGGCGGACGGGUGAGUAACACGUGGAUAACCUACCUAUAAGACUGGGAUAACUUCGGGAAACCGGAGCUAAUACCGGAUAAUAUAUUGAACCGCAUGGUUCAAUAGUGAAAGACGGUUUUGCUGUCACUUAUAGAUGGAUCCGCGCCGCGUUAGCUAGUUGGUAAGGUAACGGCUUACCAAGGCAACGAUGCGUAGCCGACCUGAGAGGGUGAUCGGCCACACUGGAACUGAGACACGGUCCAGACUCCUACGGGAGGCAGCAGUAGGGAAUCUUCCGCAAUGGGCGAAAGCCUGACGGAGCAACGCCGCGUGAGUGAUGAAGGUCUUCGGAUCGUAAAACUCUGUUAUUAGGGAAGAACAAAUGUGUAAGUAACUAUGCACGUCUUGACGGUACCUAAUCAGAAAGCCACGGCUAACUACGUG
rnacentral:rRNA from 1 species